rnacentral:rRNA from 1 species
UAAAACGUAGGAGGCAAGCGUUAUCCGGAUUUAUUGGGCGUAAAGCGCGUGCAGGCGGUCUGAUGUGUUGGAUGUGAAAGCUCCCGGCUUAACUGGGAGACGUCGUUCAAAACUAUCAGACUAGAGAAUGGGAGAGGGAAGUGGAAUUCCAGGUGUAGUGGUGAAAUGCGUAGAUAUCUGGAGGAACACCAGUGGCGAAAGCGGCUUCCUGGACCAUUUCUGACGCUUAGACGCGAAAGCUAGGGUAGCAAACGGGAUUAGAGACCCCGGUAGUCCUAGCUGUAAACGAUGUAGACUUGGCGUUGGCGGAGUUAAAUCUGCCAGUGCCGGAGCUAACGCGUUAAGUCUACCGCCUGGGGAUUACGACCGCAAGGUUA